AUGGGAAGUUUUGUUCCUAAACUGCAGAGAGGAAUCAUUUUUUGUUCCCCCAUCCCUGAAGGGAAUCCAGGGACACAAUUCCCAGGGAAUGCUGCUGAGGUGAGGAGAGGAAAGAUUUUGGAAACCCCAAACCAAGGGUUUGGGUCUGUUCGGCCUUGGAGGCAAAAACGUCCCUUGGGAGCUCAGCAAGGGCCUUUCUGUGGGGUUUGUGUGGGGUUUGUGUGGGGCCAGGGUGGGAAAUUCCACUUCUGUGGGGUUUGUGUGGGGUUUGUGUGGGGCCAGGGUAGGAAAUUCCACUUCUGUGGGAUUUGUGUGGGGUUUGUGUGGGGUUUGUGUGGGGCCAGGGUAGGAAAUUCCACUUCUGUGGGAUUUGUGUGGGGUUUGUGUGGGGUUUGUGUGGGGCCAGGGUAGGAAAUUCCACUUCUGUGGGAUUUGUGUGGGGUUUGUGUGGGGUUUGUGUGGGGCCAGGGUAGGAAAUUCCACUUCUGUGGGAUUUGUGUGGGGUUUGUGUGGGGUUUGUGUGGGGUUUGUGUGGGGUUUGUGUGGGGCCAGGGUAGGAAAUUCCACUUCUGUGGGAUUUGUGUGGGGUUUGUGUGGGGUUUGUGUGGGGUUUGUGUGGGGUUUGUGUGGGGCCAGGGUAGGAAAUUCCACUUCUGUGGGAUUUGUGUGGGGUUUGUGUGGGGUUUGUGUGGGGUUUGUGUGGGGUUUGUGUGGGGCCAGGGUAGGAAAUUCCACUUCUGUGGGAUUUGUGUGGGGUUUGUGUGGGGUUUGUGUGGGGUUUGUGUGGGGUUUGUGUGGGGCCAGGGUAGGAAAUUCCACUUCUGUGGGAUUUGUGUGGGGUUUGUGUGGGGUUUGUGUGGGGUUUGUGUGGGGUUUGUGUGGGGCCAGGGUAGGAAUUUUCACUUCUGUGGGAUUUGUGUGGGGUUUGUGUGGGGCCAGGGUGGAAAUUUUCACUUCUCUGGGGUUUGUGUGGGGCCAGGGUGGGAAAUUCCAAUUCUGUGGGGUUUCUGUGGCACCAGGGGCCACACGUGCCAGUUCUGUGGGGUUUGUGGGGAUUAGAACAGGAACUGCCAUUUCUGUGGGGUUUCUGUGGGGUUUGUGUGGCACCAGGGCUGCAAAUGCCAAUUCUGUGGAGUUUGUGGGGUUCUAGAGCAGGAAAUGCCACUUGUGUGGGGUUUGUGUGACCCCAGAGGUGAAAAUGCCAGUUUUGUAGGGUUUGUGUGGCACCAGAGUAGGAAAUGCCACUUUGUGGGGUUUCUGUGGGGUUUCUGUGGGACUAGAAUGAGAAAUGCCACUUUUGUGGGGUUUCUGUGGGGUUUGUAGGGGUCUAGAGCAGGAGAUGCCAUUUCUUCACUUGUGUGGGGUUUCUGUGGGUUUUUUUUGGGAUCUAGAGCAGGAAAUUCCACUUUUGUGGGGUUUCUGUGGGGUUUGUAGGGGUCUAGAGCAGGAGAUGCCAUUUCUGUGGGGUUUGUGUGGGAUUUUUAUGGCACCAGGGCAGCAAAUGCCAAUUUUGUGGGGUUAUUGUGGGGUUCCUGUGGGGUUUGUGUGGGACUAGAACAGAAAAUGCCAUUUCUGUGGGGUUUGUGUGGGGUUUCUGUGGGGUUUGUGUGACCCUAGAGCUGAAAAUGCUGCUUGUGUGGUGUUUGUGUAGGACCAUGGUAGGAAAUGCCACUUUUGUGGGGUUCCUGUGGGGUUCCUGUGGGGUUUGUGUGACCCCAGAGCUGCAAAUGCCACUUGUGUGGAAUUUUUGCUCAUGGGGGGCUGCAGGAACAGCUCCUUUCCCUCCUCUUGUAAUUCCACGCUCCAAUUCCAGCCCCCCAAGGAUGGAGGAUAGGAAUAAUGGGAUAAUUAUCCUGUAGGAAUAAUGGGAUAAUUAUCCUGUAGGAAUAAUGGGAAUAACCCCAGAGCUCAGAGGAGUCCUGGAGCCCUCACCUGGGGAGGCAGCAGGGUGACUGAGCUCCCAGAAUCCAAAAUCCAGCUGGAGCUCAGCCCGUCCUGGAUCAGCUCAGGACAAAGCUGCACAAAAACUCUGGGAAAAAAAAAUCAGCAGGGCUGAUUUUCCUUUUGCCAUGGGAAUUUUGGGGUGUCUGGGGGGGGGGGGGGGGGGGGGGGGGGGGGGGGGGGGGGGGGGGGGGGGGGGGGGGGGGGGGGGGGGGGGGGGGGGGGGGGGGGGGGGGGGGGGGGGGGGGGGGGGGGGGGGGG
rnacentral:lncRNA from 1 species